UACGUAGGGGGCAAGCGUUGUCCGGAAUCAUUGGGCGUAAAGCGCGUGUAGGCGGUUCGGUAAGUCUGCUGUGAAAGUCCAGGGCUCAACCCUGGGAUGCCGGUGGAUACUGUCGGACUAGAGUACGGAAGAGGCGAGUGGAAUUCCCGGUGUAGCGGUGAAAUGCGUAGAGAUCGGGAGGAACAUCUGUGGCGAAGGCGACUGCCUGGACCAGCACUGACACUGAGGCACGAAAGCGUGGGGAGCAAACAGG
rnacentral:rRNA from 1 species